rnacentral:misc_RNA from 1 species
GGAAGUAAAAGUCGUAACUAGGUCUCCGUUGGUGAACCAGCGGAGGGAUCAUUACAGAGUUGCAAAACUCCCAAACCAUUGUGAACGUUACCUAUCCCGUUGCUUCGGCGGGCGGCCCGGGCCCCGCGCCCGGCGCCCCCCGGCCCCCCGUGGGCGCCCGCCGGAGGUAAACCAAACCCUUGAAUUGCAUGGCCUCUCUGAGUCUUCUGUACUGAAUAAGUCAAAACUUUCAACAACGGAUCUCUUGGUUCUG